rnacentral:rRNA from 1 species
UGGGAGGAACUGCUUCAAUGCAUAGCCCUCCACCCUCCCUCCCUUGAGGAGGAUACAAUUUCCUGGUCUCUCGAACCAGGUGGGGAUUUCUGUCCCAAAUCCUUAUACCACACGCUAGUGGCUACCCCGGGCCCGACCGAUAUGACUCUCCUUUGGGAGAUUAAGCCAUCUCUAAUGAUUCGCAUUUUCCUUUGGCAAUGGGUGCGUGGCCGCUUACCUUCGGGUACUGAGGUCCGUAAGCGGAAUGGCCUAGGGGACGGGCUGUGUCCAUUGUGUGGAGUGCUGGAAGACUCCAACCAUGUUUUCUUCCGCUGCCCGGUGGCGAUCUUCCUUUGGAGUUGCCUCCGGGAUAUGGUUGACGGCAACUAG